UUGUUUCUCAGAGGAGUGACAAUAUCCGUCGGACGGAUAUUCGGUGGAAUCCGGGGGAGCGGAGCCUACCGAAAGGAAUGACAUCAAUCAAUAUCAAGCAUAUGCAAUCAAGAUGAUGCAUGAGCAUGGCAUGAGAAUGCAAGGUGAUAUACUAUUAUAACUAACAUGUAUUAGGUUUGAAGUUGAUUUGAAUCAAAUUCAAAUAUCACUUCAAACGAGGUAUUCUCGGAUACCAUUUUAAUUGAUUCGACAUGAUGCUCAGAUCAACUUGAUGUUAACAUGCAUGGAAUGACAUGUUAGGUUGCUGGUUUGUAAUUAGGACAGUAUUUGAUCAUGUCAAUCAUAGUGAAAUUUAAAUAUUUUCCAUAUUCCAUUUAUAAAGUAUUUAUAAGAAUUGACUUAUUCAUUAAUCUACAUGUUUGGGUUCUCUAACAUUUUCAAACAUGUCUGAAAAUGGCAUAUUCAGAUUCCUUGGAUUUUUCUGAUACUUUUUCAUAUAUAAAUUAUUUUCAUUGGAGUUACAGAUUAAUUUCUAUGAAUUUUUGAAGUUUUAAAAAUUUCUGAAAUUAUUCUUAUACUGGAAAAUCCCUUUACUGCAUCAGCAUGACAUCAGCAGGUCCAACUGGCCGUUGAAAGUCAAACCUGACCAGUGGGACCCACUGGUCAGUGUCUCUCGUCAGUUUUAGAUUAAAAUUAAACUUAAUUAGCUAAUUAAUCUCACUGGACCCACAUGUCAGUGACUUAUCAAAUUAUUUGAUUUUAUUUUUAUUAUUUCUAAACUCCCAGAGGCUGGCCCCACAUGUCAGUGGCUCAGGCCAGCUGAGAUCCACCGGCGGUGAGGUCGUCCUCGUCGGCGGGGAGCCUCCGGCGAGCACCAGUACGUCGGAGGGGCUCAGAAACGGCGCACAGGGGGCCAAAGUCGGCGCGGAGAGCACGAGAGGAACGACACUUCUCCCGCGGGUUCAUUUUUGCACUUGGCUGGGGCUGAUCUGGCCGGAGAUGACGCCAGCGACGAGCUUGGCGGCGGCCAAGGUUCGGGCGUCAUCGGGGUCUUCGAUACAAAGGGAGUUACGCACGGGAAUUAGCUCCUACGGCAUCUACGCGGUGGCCUGAAGCUGCUGGUGGCCUCAGAAGGAUGAGCUGAUCACCGGAGGGCUACCGGCGACGAGCUCCCGCGGCAGAUCUCAUCGGGCUCCGAUGGAACUAGGCCUAGAGGAGGGGAUCGACGGGGAGAUCUUAGGGGAAAGAUGCGCAAGCUCACGAGGAGUGCAGUGGUGGCGCUAGCUUGCUCGGGGACGGCCUGGAGAGGAAGAACGCCGGCGACGAGCUUCGGUGACCCGAGGAAGAAGACGACCGCGUCUCGUCGUUCCACUGCGUCUCGGCGUCGGGCUCGUGGCUAGAGAGCUUCAGGGAGUUGCGGCGGACCUAUUGUGCGGCUCAGGAGGGAGAAGAGUAGGCUAGAAUGACGGCGAGCUCGAGCUCUGCUCGGGCUGCAAUGGCGGCAGAAAGAAACGAGGCGGAGGGGGAGAAUGAGCUGGGGAACGGAUAGCUACGAGCUCGGGGAGGUUAUCCCCGUUCUUGCCAGCGCGAAGCGGCGGCCAGGCAGCCAGGGAGCUGCGUGGAGGCGCGCGGCGACGCGGCGGCCACCUCCUGCGAGGAAGACGACAGGAGCAGAUGGGCCGGGCCAGGUCAGCGUCAGGUAAGGUUUUUUCUCAUUUUCUUUCUGAUUUGUUUCUGUUUUGCUAUUUCAUUAACUUGCUAUUUAUUUCAGCUCCCAAAUAGUUUGUAAAAGCUAUUUUAAACACACCAGAAUAUUUGUUGGAAUAUUUCCAACCAUUCCCAAAGUUUUCAAAAAAAUUGAAAGUUUAAAGUUUCUGAUUUCAAAUUUAAAACUUGAAACUAGUAGCUUUUUGCAUUUAUUUAAAAUGCUUAAAGUGUCAAGAAAAAGGUUUUCUUCAUUGCUUAUUACUUUCAUGAUUUAUCAGAAAGAUUGAACUUUUCUUGAGGCCGUUUUGGGUUCAUUGAUUUUAACUAGUUUGAAUUUCCUUUAAUUUGAGAAGUGGCUAGGGUUUGUUGAAUUUUCCUUCACCACUUACUUUGUUCUUGUUGAGAAUGUCCUAGAUGCAAUGCAAAGAAAACAUGAGCACAAAGCUAACUUGCUUAAGGGGUCAGGGAUGUGACAAAUUGGUUGCUCAAGUGCUUAGAUAUAGCCACCAAAAAUACUCAGCCACUUUCCCACAACAUAUAUGUGUACCAAAGGCAAAUAUGCAAAAUUGGUGCCACCAAUAUUUCCCACUCGGCCAUACCGAUUUUACACUUACACAGAUCCUAUGCCAAUCCCACCAUAUCGGUACAACCAACAUUCCUAUCAGUGCCACCAAGAUUGGGUGACCAACAUUCUGUUGAUAUAACUUCAAGUUUCAGAAUUUAUGAGUAGUCGAUCUCACCGAGUUUGGGAACCAGUCUAGGUCAUCAUAUUGGUACCACCGAGAUUCCUAUAUCGGUCUCACCGAGAAUUCAAAGUUGCCACAUUUACUUCAACUCGGUACCACCGAGAUUACCAUUUCGGUGUCACCAAGUUGGGUAAUAAUGUUGUAACGGUUGGAGUUUGGGGAUCCCUAUAUAUACCCCUCCACCUACCUCUCAUUCAUAGAGAAAGCACUCAGAACACACUUACACUUGGCAGAUCCAUUUUUCUAAGAGAGAGAGAGAGAGCCACCUAUUCAUGUGUUGAGAUCAAGAGAUUCCAUUCCAACUAUUUGAACCUUGAUUUCUAGCAUCCCAAGUUGCUUUCCACAAGAUCAGUAUCUCCUACCCUUGCCAAAUCUAAGAGAGAGUGAUCGAGUGUUAAGGAGACUAUCUUUAGAGGCACAAGAGCAAUGAGUUCAUCGUUCUACCACAUCUAUUACCUUUUAGAGGGCGGUGCCUCCUAGAUUGGAUAGGUGUUGCUUGGGAGCCUCCUACUUUGUGUUGUGGAGUUGAACCAAGAUGUUUGUAAGGGAAAGGAGAUCGCCUACUUUGUGAAGAUCUACCGUGAGUGAGGCUAGUCCCGUGUGGAUGGAAGCUGUGGUGGAAUAGACAAGGCCGCUUCUUCGUGGACCCCUUGUGGGNAGUCUCCACUAACAUGGAAGUACGAUAUCCCACCUAUCGGAACCAUGCCAAAAAUCGUCGUGUCAACCUUUGCGUUUGAUCUCCCUACCUUACCCUCUGUCUACACUUGCAUGUUUUACUUUACGCUGCAAUACUCUUAGAUAUGCAUGUCUAGGGUGUACUUGACUAGUCAUAAUUGAUAAAACUGGACCACACUAAAAAUUGGGAAAUGGCUAAGUUUUUAACUUGUCAAGUACUCUAAUCACCCCCUCUAGACAUACUUUCGAUCCUANNNNNNNNNNNNNNNNNNNNNNNNNNNNNNNNNNNNNNNNNNNNNNNNNNNNNNNNNNNNNNNNNNNNNNNNNNNNNNNNNNNNNNNNNNNNNNNNNNNNNNNNNNNNNNNNNNNNNNNNNNNNNNNNNNNNNNNNNNNNNNNNNNNNNNNNNNNNNNNNNNNNNNNNNNNNNNNNNNNNNNNNNNNNNNNNNNNNNNNNNAUUCCUUGCGGAUUCGCCUCUGAUCACCAACGAUCGAGCGACGAGCACGGCUGGUAGACUUCACCCGUCGUGCACCGAACUCGAGCUAUAAAACGACCAUGGCAUUCCUCUCUUCUUCCUCACACCCGACCUCGCUCCUACUUCUUCCUCCGUCUUAUUUUUUGCUUGUAGGAGCUCGAGGCAAGGCUCUAUUGGCAGACAAGCUUCUCGGGUGGCUUACGAUCAUCCUAGCUGGAGCGGCAGCGGCGCUGAUCGGGUUCUCGAUGUUGUACUGCAUGAUCAUCCAGGAUGACCGUCGUGAUGAUGCUGCUCGAGUGGUGGCUCUCCGUGGCAGCAGUGUCCAUGAUGACUAGGAAAAUGUGUAGCGUGCGAGUGGGUGCUAGUGUGUCGGCACCAACUCUAGAAAAAUAAAAUACCCACAAUGUUUCCUUUUGAAAAACUGUGGCGUGCUAGAGAGGUAAUCAGUUAGGUGCUAAAUGCGUGCGUGGUUCUGCACUUAGUGCAUGUGUCAUAGUGAGUGUGGUUAUGAUUCAGUUGGAUGUAUGUUUCCGGUGUGCCUUCACACACUUGGUCUUCUAGCCUCUUUGUAGAAUUCUUGCAUAGUUGAUGUUGUCGGCAGGGGAGUGGUGGUGAACUCUUGUUGUCUCUUCUUCGUUGUCAUGGCUUAUCAGCCGUGGUCGCUCUUCACCUAACUUGCGUAGGAUUGUCUUCUGUUGCUUGGAGGGUGCUUCGAGGAGUCCAUCUCUACCAGGGUAAAACCUUACACUUCUGAGGCAUCGCGAUCGAGGUUUCCGAGGGCUUAUCCAAACAGGACUAAGGUGAUUCUCACUUCUCUUGGAUAAAUAAGCUUGUCAUCCAUAGGACAACACCCUAUUUUUCCAACCAUCACACAAGAAUUAUGAUCGUGGAAUGUGUGAGAGGAGCAGGUACUUCUCCUGUGUGGUCCCUUGCCCAGGGGUUUAGUGGCGGUCGAGGGGGAGUAUUGGCUACAGUCCAAUGACUUAGAACCAAAACCUACAGUCACAAUCCAGCCAUUUUUUGGCUAGGUAAAGCUUCGGGGUUUUAAGGAACUUAGGAUGUGAGUGAAGAUCCAUCACCUUAUCCUUGAGCACACUUAGUUAGAUGCCAAUGGUCCUACCAAAUCCUCCAAACCGAAUCAUCUAAUGUCAUAAAAGGUACCAUGCCAUAUAGGUCAGCUCCAGCAUCACUAUGCUACUCAACCCCAAGGUUUGAGAGAAGGACUAAACCAAAACCACGUAAGUAUGCUAUAACUGGCUCAUGUGUAUCCCUAUGUAAGAAUCCUCGGGAAGCAUACAAGCUACUAAUCUUGGCGAAUAUAGUACAAUCCAAGUGCUUAUUAAAAUUAUCCAAGGUCUAAGGUACUAUAUUUCUAUGCUAAGGAAACAUGUAUUAUACCAAUCCAAGAUCUUGUUCCUCACUAAAAAUCCAAUUAAGAGGUUCAUCAAUACCAUCAAUCCUCACUGGACCUAUCACUCCUAUAAAUUGAAUAUCGAUGGGGUUCUACCUAAUCACCUAGAGUCCUUUUAUUAAUCCACCUAUCCUAGCAAGGACUAUACCACAGUAUAUCCACCAAUUUUCCAUACCAUGACCAAUCAAGCUGGUCACGCUUAUAUAGAUUCAUAAUUCAAUUCAACUACUCAAAUUAAUUCUACUAUCACUCACGGAGGCACAUGCUAUCAUGACCAAGAUCAUCGGACCACAUCUAAUUUACUCUGAACCAUGUGGUAUCAUUUAUCAUCGACACUCUAUUAGAAUUACCUAUUUAAAUCCAAUUCGCAUGGCCGACGAGAACUCCCACUUGCUUCUCCAUGUCAUUAAUAAGCCAUGACUGCUACUUGACAAAGUCAAUUUAUUAUAUCACCAAGAGUUUUAACUCGCAAUCAUAAUUUCCGUAUGUACCCAAACUUACUCCAGGAACAUGUAGGUAUUGAUACUAUAUCACCUUAUUAAACCAAGUUCACCUACCAACUUAAGGGUCUUACGACCCGCUAAGAGAACCUAGCUACAUCAGCGAGACACUUACUGUAGUCAUCUCAAAUCAUUUUCUGUGGGUCGUAUACCCUUUGAACAAUCCUUCCUAUGGCGUCAAGGUCGUGGGGCUAGCUUAAUAGUGAAGGAUAUUUGUUCACUCUGAUCACUUGUUCCAUAAUAAACCCAAUGCUAAGCAAGGGGGGUUAUCGGGACUCAACGGGUGCUGUGGUAAACCCGUGUAUUAAUCACACGAUCAAAGGUUUAAGCUAGGGAAUCUUGUGGGGUUUUAGGUUGGUCUAGAGAGGGGCUUCCAACCUUGAGGGAAAAGGACAAAGCUACGGGGUUACGUCUGGUUGAGCACGUCGUAGUCAGAGUCUUGAUUGUUAGUAGUCCGUCGAGGUGGAUCCUUGGUGCAUCUUGUCCUUCUCGCCUUCGUUUGUCGAGGAAGGUGAGAGAGAGAGAAAGGAAGCAUAGAGGGGAGUGCCUAAGGGGGCAGUAUAGUGCAAGUGCAAUCAAACAAGUGCCGAAAGUCCAAACACAAACACCAAGAUGAUGUAGGUGAUAUAGUCGUGUGCUUGCUGCCUGGGAAAAAGUGCGAGUUAUAUCAAGGCACAAACAACAAGAAACACACAAUAUGGAUCCACUCGAACCAUCACACGGACUCGGCUUCUCAUAGGGGAUACACAGCUCAUCCUAUCCUAAGGGUUCUCGGACUCAAUAGUCAUGCUUACUUCGUGUAUCAUUGGGGGAGUCCACUUAGUCUUCUAGGUCUUCUUUAGGUGUCGCGUGCCUCAUGUUGUUGUCCGUCGAGACGACUCAAGUUGAGCUGGAAAGAGUCCUUGACAAUUUCUCAUCUGGUGAGCUGUCGACGAGGGUGGCUCUUCAUGGUUGUCGUUGGACAAGGACUUCUGUUGUCUUUGUAAUCCCGCCGAUAUCUCCUUGUCUUCGAAGGUGUCGAGUGUUCCAAGUGGACAAUCCUUUAUGCAAUGACAUCAAGAGGGCAUGGUAGAGUUUUGUCGUGACAGUUAUGUUGCUGACAAUAUCGACUUCAAGAGCGAGGGACAAAGAGAACCGCUUUUCCUUCUCACUAUGGUGAGUUUGACCAAAUGGCGAGGUUCUCAUCCACCGGUGGUUGUCGACACAACAACGGUAACGACAGGGUCACUCUAUUUGCGAUGCAUAUCAUGAUCUUGCAUAUCUUAUGUCCUGAUCAUCGUAGUCCAAGGUUGUACCGCUCUGAGGCGGGGUCGAGGGUGUCACCAUCUUCUCAGUCUCGAUGUACUCAUUUGUCGAGAGAGUAGCUUCUUUUGGUGUCGUCUGGUCGUAGCGUUCCCAAUCUUGUCUUAGAAACAUGUGAGUGAUCUUUUGGCAAGGUUGUUUCCUUUCAAGUUACCCACCAAGAUUUCAAGGAAACUAGUGGUUAGGGUCAUAAGGGUUCUAGCUACCGUUUGCUGCUUUGAAAAGCAAGUGAGGAGCGUUGAAGGAACAAGGGUGGAAGUGCUAAGGUAAAAACCUUGGCUUGCAAUGAAGAUUUAGGAGAGGUGAGAAAUAUUUAGGUUUUGAAAAUGAUUGGAAGGGCCUGAAAAACAAAUGUGUCCUAACUAACGUCUGUGCUAACUAAGGGCUUCCUCCAGUCAGGAUGGCUCGGAUACCAGCUCUGUGGGGACCCCGACUUGUAAGUCGAGAUCGUCGAAUGCACGUGUGCAGUGAUCCCAGAGAUCAAUGCUCACGGAACACACAUAAACUGGAUAACAAGUGUCUUGCAUCCAUACAUACCGCUUAUCUCGGAUAUGGCCGUUAUGGCCAAGUCUUCAUAUACACUCCAACGGAAAUCUUCAAGGAUAGUGUGAAUCCAUGCCACUUGUCUUAGCCCGACAUGCAUUCUGGAUGGGAAGCGUCCUAGCUCGCAGGAACGUCAGCAAGGUAUUCUUCACCAUCUAUUGUUCUCUCUUACCUGGUCAAUGAAAUCACCAGUUGCAAGCCAAUGAGUACUUCAAAUGUACUCGUAAACAAACAAUGUUUGGAAUGAGGCAACAACAAUACAUGAUAUAGUACUAAGCAGUUAAUUUGCGGAAAGCUAAUUUGAGUGCAAUGCCAUGAUCAAUCAGCUUGUAAGAGCGUGCAUCAACACGUAGACGAUAUACAUACGAUCAGAUAUCAGAUAUCAAUAUCAAUAGAGGGUUGAACAUCCCAUGUUCACCCAUCAUGCCAAGUCAUCUGACUUAGCUCAUCAUUCAUAUUGCCGCCAUACCCCCCCCACACACACACACAAACUUGGUUAAUACGAAAACUCCUGGACGUAGUUUAAGUAGCACCACCCAAAUGUCCUUGGCCAUGGACACGACUAUUCGAGUAGUUUUACACUCUGCGGAGGCUACAAACUUUACCCACAAGAUUCGAGAGAAUCCCGUGUUAGCACAUGACUCACGGUAUUUAUCAUACCCGGGGUAAGUACCCGAACAUCACCUUUCCCAUGACGAUACUAUCAAGGAGUCCACUCGUUGGUGAUAGUCCCUCGUGAUGUACAUCACACGUACCAUCCACGAGGGCACGCAACUGUGUGCUCGAUGUUUGUAAAAACAUCACAUGGUCUCCCUUUAUCUUGUCACGACCCCGUCUCGAGAGUGACCACGUCACUCCUGCCACUAGUAAUGUAGGCUCUCUACUAGCACCGACCAUAGUAAUCAAUAAAGCCCCAUCCCAUAAGGGGUAUUGUGGUCGUACUUGUAAGGUUGGUACGGGUGAGGAAUCUUAAAUCUAAUCCGGUUUUUAGAAAACCCACUCACACAACUGGCCUCGGUAUACAACUCUCUGAUCAAGUGGUUACCUAGAUCAAAAAAUCGCCCUCGAGCAUUAGUGGCACCCGACGGGGUUCUCGUGAAACAUUUGAAAUCACCUCCUUUUACCAUCUCCAUGCAUGCACCCAAUCCCAUGCGUAGCACUACCAACAACCUAACUACUUCGCACUCGUAGAACCCUGAUAGGAAGGUAGGGUCAUUCCUAGGUACAAGUAGCAACGAGGAGUUUCCACAGACAACCCAUUAAGAUGGUCACCAACUCAAUAUGAUUCAAUACAUCAGAACGAAGUGCAAAUUACCAUGCACAAAAGUAGUUUCUCAGACAUGGUCAAAGGGAUGCUUGCCUAGUUCAUCAAAGUCAUCGAGGUCUUCAUGAGCUUCUCGUCCACCCCGAGCGGCUUGCCUACUUCGUCAACAAUAAUCGAAAACAACCACGAUAAGCCACACUACAAGCAGAAACACAAACUGCUCAAUAAAUAGAUGUCUUAUUUUUCUUGGACAUCACUGGUCAUGAGGGAAAUCCCUAAGCUUGUUCUAAGAGAUUUGGAUCACCAUAGAAUUUUGAAUGGUGUAAAAGGAGGAAUUGGUGAUCCUAUAAGAAGUCGACAGAAAGCAUUUUUAUAAAUAGGAGUUGAUGUGCCCACCGAAGAGGGCAUGAUUUUUGAAACAUUUAGGAAGUGGUUUCAUUGGAUUUUGUGUUGGUAUGAAUUCGCUAUGGAUUUACUAAGAUGGAUUAAAUGGAAAUAUGUGCUAAUAAUCUGGCCUACCAGAAAUGAUGUAUGAGAAAAAUCUUCACCUAUGCUAGAAAAAUAGAGAAUGAUUUUAGACUCAUCUAGAAAUUGGAAUCACUCCAUUUGGAGUUGAUUUGGAUGAUGGAUGAAUUUUACAAAGUGGGGUUUGAAUAAAUCAAAUUUGAAUUUGAUCUCUAAAAAAAUGUUUCUGGACAAAUGUGCAAUGCACAUAUUUGAAUAUACCUUGAUUUUAGAAAAUCAUAGAAAUUUGAAUUAGUUAAUUUGGAGCUCAUAUGAUUUUAUUAUGAAUUAUAUGAGCUUUCAAAAAAAGAAAAAAGGGGAAAAGGGGGGGUAUGCCAGAGGACUAUAAGGCGCGAGGGUGCCUAGUAGGCAGCUGGGCCGUCCCAGCGGGUCCAGCCGCGUGCGCAGGAGGCCACGCCAAAGGCACCUUCCUGGAAGAUGAUUUCUUCGUGGGGAGGCACGAUCCAGCGGGAGGUGCGACCACUUAAAUAGGGGGCCCGGAUCUUAGCCACUGAACGGCGAGCCCCACUGUCAGAUCCAUCCCUACCACCCACCAGAGUAGGGAGAGGCAAGGGAGCUCGACCGAGCGCGUGUCGGCGCCCGCCUCGGCUGCUCCAGCCGCCUCCGGUGGAUCUACGGCCACCGUUGGGCCCUGGGGGCGGCCUGCCACACCCGCCAGGGUGUCUCCUGAUCCCGGGGACGGCCGGGGACGACCAUAGCUCCGGCCAUGGCGGAGAGAAGCGACAGCGGAGCUGGGCAUGGAGGAGCGGCCGUCGGGAGGAGGAAAACGGUCCAUGGGGAGGAGGGAGGAGGCAGUGGAGGGUCCAAGCGAGUCUUGGAGGAGAGGAUGGGGUCGGGGAAGCCUGAAUUCGAGCUAGGUCGUGGCGUUGCUAGGGAGGCCAUGGGAGGAGGAGGAGAGGGUGGGAGCCCUGAAGUCUUGACCCACGAGCUGCAUGGGAAAGAGAUGGGUGCAUCGGGGGGGUUGAGGGGGCUUAGGAGAGGAAUAAAGCAGGUGGGGACGAUGUGUGAGCUUGAGAGCACCUCGUGUGGUCUGGGCACGGCGGGACACG
rnacentral:lncRNA from 1 species